CGUUAUGAUGAGAGUAAUUUGCGAUUGAUCCCGUAUAGAUGGCGCCCUUUCGCCGGGGUUGCUAUAUCUUGCGGAUAAAUGAAAGUCAUUCUUACAUAUUCUGAAC
rnacentral:snoRNA from 1 species